UGGGGAAUUUUGGACAAUGGGCGAAAGCCUGAUCCAGCAAUGCCGCGUGUGUGAAGAAGGCCUUCGGGUUGUAAAGCACUUUUGUCCGGAAAGAAAUCCUUGGCUCUAAUACAGUCGGGGGAUGACGGUACCGGAAGAAUAAGCACCGGCUAACUACGUGCCAGCAGCCGCGGUAAUACGUAGGGUGCAAGCGUUAAUCGGAAUUACUGGGCGUAAAGCGUGCGCAGGCGGUUUGCUAAGACCGAUGUGAAAUCCCCGGGCUCAACCUGGGAACUGCAUUGGGUGACUGGCAGGCUAGAGUAUGGCAGAGGGGGGUAGAAUUCCACGUGUAGCAGUGAAAUGCGUAGAGAUGUGGAGGAAUACCGAUGGCGAAGGCAGCCCCCUGGGCCAAUACUGACGCUCAUGCACGAAAGCGUGGGGAGCAAACAGGAUUAGAUACCCUGGUAGUCCACGCCCUAAACGAUGUCAACUAGUUGUUGGGGAUUCAUUUCCUUAGUAACGUAGCUAACGCGUGAAGUU
rnacentral:rRNA from 1 species